rnacentral:rRNA from 1 species
CCUACGGGUGGCAGCAGUGAGGAAUAUUGGUCAAUGGACGAGAGUCUGAACCAGCCAAGUAGCGUGAAGGAUGACUGUCCUAUGGGUUGUAAACUUCUUUUAUAUGGGAGUAAAAUGUUCCACGUGUGGGAUUUUGUAUGUACCAUAUGAAUAAGGAUAGGCUAACUCCGUUCCAGCAGCCGCGGUAAAACGGAGGAGCCGAGGGUUAUCCGGAUUUGUUUGGUUUAAAGGGAGCGUAGGUGGAUUGUUAAGUCAGUUGUUAAAGUUUGCGGCUCAACCGUAAGAUUGCAGUUGAAACUGGCAGUCUUGAGUACAGUAGAGGUGUGCGGAAUUCGUGGUGUAGCGGUGAAAUGCUUAGAUAUCACGAAGAACUCCGAUUGCGAAGGCAGCUCACUGGACUGCAACUGACACUGAGGCUCGAAAGUGUGGGUAUCAAACAGGAUUAGAUACCCGUGUAGUC